GCUGGAAUUGUAUGAUUGUGAAGACAUCGCGAACCUUAAAGGUUGAGAAGUGAACGGAUUAUACGGCGAACUGAGACGACGUGAAAAAGGGGAUUGGAAGCGGCAUUGAUGUGAGUACUAAGAGCCAGUCGAAAGUGCCCUGUAUAUUGACCUGGCGUUGUGUAGAUCUCUCCAGGAGGAGGAGGGCGGCCCUACCCCUAAUAUAGCGUGGUGGGAGAGCCGAAGGAAUACUUAUUGAAGUAGUCACAACGACGACAUCACUAGCUAGGCCGCAUAUUCCAUCGCCAGAUCCGAACCAAGCGAAGUGAAGGAAGACGGGUGUCCUUUUCGUACACUGAGUGUGGUGGGUGAGUCUUCGUGCUGUGAAAACCUAUAAUUUUGACGUGGUGUUGUAUAUUGCUGUGGGCUGCUGUGUAUUGCCGUGUGUCCUGUCAGAUAAACCCCCGCCUUCACGCACUUCGUCGCGGGAGGACAAGGAGACUGCUGGUCCUAGCCUAGUUCAGUACAGUAUAUGUUGUGAGCGUGCUUCAGAUCUCCGGAGAUAGCACAGUACGCUGUGUCCAGCCCAGAGGUGAAAGCCAUCCAAAGCAGAGUAACUGUGCUUUGCGUCCAAGUUGAUACCUGUGGAGAGGAAAGGAGAGAGAGAGUGAAUAACACGAGGAGGAAUAGAGCGAACCCUGUACUUACAGUACGCUGUGUCCAGCCCAGAGGUGAAAGCCAUCCAAAGCAGAGUAACUGUGCUUUGCGUCCAAGUUGAUACCUGUGGAGAGAAAAGGAGAGAGAGAGUGAAUAACACGAGGAGGAAUAGAGCGAACCCUGUACUUACAGUACGCUGUGUCCAGCCCAGAGCCGUUGCCUGUGGAGGAAGAGAAAGAGAGUGAGCACCCCGAGAACGAACUGUGUGAACCAGUACUUACCGUGAGCUGUAUUCAGCGAAGAGGAGGAAGAAGGAGGGCGCUACGGAUACCUAAGACUCAGGCCGGGGCCCGAGUCCCACGCCCCGGAUCCCCGUGGCCCCCUUGCUCCCUGACCUCUUCCCGGCCAUAGCCCAUCUGGAGGGCCGAGUCAGAGUUUAGUUUUAAUUGCCCUUUCCCUAUUCCCCAAGCUAUUUUUAAAUAUUUAAAUAAAGAUUGUUUUAUCACUUACUUGUUCUCGUGU
ensembl:lncRNA